CGGAGGGUGCAAGCGUUAUCCGGAUUUACUGGGUUUAAAGGGUGCGUAGGUGGGUCUGUAAGUCAGUGGUGAAAUCUCCGAGCUUAACUCGGAAACUGCCAUUGAUACUACAGGUCUUGAAUUAUCUGGAGGUGAGCGGAAUAUGUCAUGUAGCGGUGAAAUGCUUAGAUAUGACAUAGAACACCAAUUGCGAAGGCAGCUCGCUACGGAUAUAUUGACACUGAGGCACGAAAGCGUGGGGAUCAAACAGGAUUAGAUACCCUGGUAGUCCACGCCCUAAACGAUGGAUACUCGACAUACGCGAUAUACUGUGUGUGUCUGAGCGAAAGCAUUAAGUAUCCCACCUGGGAAGUACGACCGCAAGGUUG
rnacentral:rRNA from 1 species